ACUCCUACGGGAGGCAGCAGUGGGGAAUAUUGGACAAUGGGCGAAAGCCUGAUCCAGCCAUGCCGCGUGAGUGAUGAAGGCCCUAGGGUUGUAAAGCUCUUUCACCGGUGAAGAUAAUGACGGUAACCGGAGAAGAAGCCCCGGCUAACUUCGUGCCAGCAGCCGCGGUAAUA
rnacentral:rRNA from 1 species